rnacentral:rRNA from 1 species
GACGAACGCUGGCGGCGUGCUUAACACAUGCAAGUCGAACGGUGAACGAGGGAGCUUGCUCCCUCCGGAUCAGUGGCGAACGGGUGAGUGACACGUGAGCAAUCUGCCCCGAACUCUGGGAUAAGCGUUGGAAACGACGUCUAAUACCGGAUACGACGCGGGAGGGCAUCCUCUCCGCGUGGAAAGAACUUCGGUUCGGGAUGAGCUCGCGGCCUAUCAGCUUGUUGGUGAGGUAACGGCUCACCAAGGCGACGACGGGUAGCCGGCCUGAGAGGGUGACCGGCCACACUGGGACUGAGACACGGCCCAGACUCCUACGGGAGGCAGCAGUGGGGAAUAUUGCACAAUGGGCGCAAGCCUGAUGCAGCAACGCCGCGUGAGGGACGACGGCCUUCGGGUUGUAAACCUCUUUUAGCAGGGAAGAAGCGAAAGUGACGGUACCUGCAGAAAAAGCACCGGCUAACUACGUG